rnacentral:lncRNA from 1 species
UGAAGGACAAUACCUAUCCUGAUAGGAUGUGAUCUUCAAGAUAAAACCCAGCUGCACCCUCAAGAGACCAUUCCACUACUCUGUCAGCUGGCAGCGUGUGAUGCAGUAUGGGGUAGAACCAGGAGAUCUCAUGGUCAUGUGCCCACUACCAGACAGCCUUCGCUGUAAACCCAAGCGGUUUCCUAGCCCAAUAGUCCUAGAUCUGCCACUUGCUAACUAGAAGGUGUCAUCCGCAGAAGAAUACCCGGAGUAUUACCAUGACUCCAGAAGAUGCCUUCAACCAAGACUCAUAAUCUGAGUGUAAGAAACCUUCAGAUAAGGUCCUCAGAGAUCCUGUGUGGGAACCAGAAGGUAUUCUGUGAAAAACAACAAUAAGAAUAACCAUAAUAACAAUAACGGCUGCAUUUAAAAGGCUCUUGCUAUAUUUCAGGCACUGGCUUUAGUACCUACAUGGAUUAUUUUGUUCAAUAUUUAUCACAACCAUAUGAGAAGGAUGCUAUUAUCCACAAUAAAUAAAUGAAAUCUGUAAACUAU